rnacentral:ncRNA from 1 species
GCUGGUCAAUACAUCCACGGACUUGGACUGCUGUUCGCAGAUAAUCUUGGUCACGCGGAUACGGUCUUCGUAGGUCAGCAGGCUAAGGUAGUUGUGAGCCAGCUCGUUACUCAAAAUAUUGGCGCCGUCGCUGAUACGCAGGAUACAGAUCCCUACCGGCGCGGAGGCCACGAUCUUACGGUUGAACUGUUCGUUCUCUUCCAGCUGAAACGCGUUUCUUUCCGCCGGCAGAAACAUGCGCUGCUCCAGCACACGGGUAAUCACAAACAGCGCAAUGGCCGACAGCAAAUUCAGCAACGCCAUGUUCAUAAUCAGGGAGUUCAGCGCCGCCAGAAUGACCUCCAACGGCAGCGCGUACACGACGCUCAGCGUGGUCGGCAGCAAGGCCUUCUUCAGAAUCAGUGCGUUGUAGUUAUUGAUGUAACCGAAGUAGGCGCUGAUGUCCGGA